CCUACGGGCGGCUGCAGUGGGGAAUAUUGGACAAUGGGGGCAACCCUGAUCCAGCCAUGCCGCGUGUGUGAAGAAGGCCCUCGGGUUGUAAAGCACUUUCAGUGAGGAAGAACGCCUGGUGGUUAAUACCCAUCAGGAAAGACAUCACUCACAGAAGAAGCACCGGCUAACUCCGUGCCAGCAGCCGCGGUAAUACGGAGGGUGCGAGCGUUAAUCGGAAUUACUGGGCGUAAAGCGCGCGUAGGUGGCUUGAUAAGCCGGUUGUGAAAGCCCCGGGCUCAACCUGGGAACGGCAUCCGGAACUGUCAAGCUAGAGUGCAGGAGAGGAAGGUAGAAUUCCCGGUGUAGCGGCGAAAUGCGUAGAGAUCGGGAGGAAUACCAGUGGCGAAGGCGGCCUUCUGGACUGACACUGACACUGAGGUGCGAAAGCGUGGGUAGCAAACAGGAUUAGAUACCCGAGUAGUC
rnacentral:rRNA from 1 species